rnacentral:rRNA from 1 species
CGGACGUCGACCGGCGCACGGGUGAGUAACGCGUAUCCAACCUUCCCGUUACUGCGGGAUAACCUGCCGAAAGGCAGACUAAUACCGCAUGUUCUUCGAUGACGGCAUCAGAUUCGAAGCAAAGAUCCGUCGGUAACGGAGGGGGAUGCGUCUGAUUAGCUAGUUGGCGGGGCAACGGCCCACCAAGGCGACGAUCAGUAGGGGUUCUGAGAGGAAGGUCCCCCACAUUGGAACUGAGACACGGUCCAAACUCCUACGGGAGGCAGCAGC